rnacentral:lncRNA from 1 species
GAAGAUAUUAACUAAAAAAAUUACAAAAAAUAAAUAAAUAAAAUCAACUAGAAUAUAUCUACUUUAAUCACCACAUAAGCACAUAUUCAAAGUUUAAUGAUUUCUGCUAGUUUUUAGUAAAGUAUAAACUAUUGUUGCUACUACUGAUGUUGCCCUUACACCAACUUCAAGCCUUCUUUCAUGCUGUUUUGUUGCUUUGCUACUGAUGCCAUGUGAAAGGGUUUUCCAAAAUAAAGACAGUCAUUUGUACCAUCAGACAAAGAAGAGAGAGUCAUGCAUCUCCAACACCUCUUAAUUAUUUGAAUGAACACUCCGUCUGUUUCAAUGUAGAAAGUGUUGGUUUUUUCUGCAUUCAUUACCAUCAUUGUGUAUGUAUACCACCGGUGGAAACUGUAAAAGGAAGCAUUCUCUAGGACUUAAUUACUUGGAAUUUAAAAUAGACAAACAAAUAAUGAAGGGUUUUAAUUAAGGAGGACCUCAUUUCCAUUAAAAGUUAAGAUUUAUAAUAACUAGUUUAAAGAUGACAAAUUAAAAUUAAAAAAUUAAUUAGUGGGACAUUUCUUCAAACAUUGAUAUGCGUCAAAAGAAACCCAUUUCACAUACAAAUAACCCAAUGAAUUGUAAUUAACAUAAAAUCUAGAAGAUAUCUAUUUUUACGGGAUGUAAUUAAGAUAUACCUAAUACCUACCUACUGUGUUAUAAGGAAUUAACAACAAAUUGAAAUUUAAUAGUGAGAAAAAGGAAAACCUAAUUGCAUAUCAUAAUAGUAAUGACAAACGUGUGAAAUCGAAGAUGGUGGAAACUAAGAAAUUAAAUGGAAAUGGAGAAAGGGAAAAAGAAAGAACUACAAUCGACAUCCUUAAAAUCGGAUCAACUUAUAUUAGGAUUCCAAAGAGGGGAUAUAUAUAAAUUAACUUAAACAACUUGGAAUGUAAGUCUACCUUUGUAAAUCGAUUUAGUAUUGGGUAUGCAACUUGCAAAGUAACGGUGUGAAGAUUGAGUACAAUACUUCAAGACAUUACGAAGAUAAAGAAAGGAAGAAGUCGUUAAAUAUGGGAAUGCUAACCGGAGGAAAAAAUAGUCGCACAAGAGAAAGACGAGAUUUAACAAAUAUU